CCCAAUUCCUGCCUCUACACAGCAUUUUAAAAGUGAUACUCCCUCUGCGCGAACAACAAAAAAACUCUCAAAAAACACAAACCUCUUCAGAUGCACAGCCGCGUCUUCACACCGAUUCUUUACUCUCUGUUUUCUUCCAGUUUCUCUGUACUCCUCCAUCCCCUUCACUUUCUCGUACUCCUCCGUCUCUUUCGCUUUCUCUGUUCUCCUCCAUCUCUUUAAGACCUCUCUCUUCCUUUUUAUUUUUACACCCAUGACCUGUUUGAAAAAAUGCUAUACAUGGCACCCGGAAUCAACAAUGUCGGUGUGGGGACACUAUGAUUGCGAAGACAAAACGCUGUUACGAGAUUGAGGGAUUUUAAAAUGAGCUCAAAAGUGGAGAAUAAGAAUUACUAAAGACAAGAGAAAUGGAUAUUUGGUGCUUUUCAUUUGAGAAAUUCACUGGAAGAUAUGACUUCUCAUAUUAAUGGGAGAAAUAAGGUAUAGAAACCAAGGGAAAUCCUUUUUGCUGCAAGAUUCAUUCAACAAGAUGAUGUGGGUCGAUGUGGAUUAACAAAUGGCGCUUGAGUCCGAGUUCUUUACAGUAUGCAUUAUUCACUUGUAUCAGAGCUUUUCAGUAUGGUUUCCAUAUUUUGAUCAACUUGAAAAUUCAUAUCAGAAGAGUAUGAUAGUAAUAAGCGACAGAGACGCAAAAAAUAUAGAAAGUUGUCCUCAACUUUUAGUUAGAGGAUGAAGAUGAACUUCCUAAUUUGGACAUUCAAUUGAGCCUCUUUACAAGCUAAAUAUUUAGCGACAGAAUCUUGAGGGAAGACAGCCUCUUCAAGAAAUGGUUCUGUUCUUGGAAUUUUUCAUGAAAAUAUCUUUUUGUCUAGGAAUAGAAAGAGUAGGAGAUGAGUAAGAGGACUAAGAGAUUUGGAGACUCCUUAAGAAUAGUCAGAUUUGACAUAGAUGAUGAAGACUUCAGUAAGAGCCGGAGAUACCUCAAAAUGAAAUGUUGAACUCUUCAGCGAUCACAUAAGAGACGCAAUGACUGUUACUCUUUUUUGCAGUAAGCUACUUCCAUUGUUUCGUUGCUGAAAUAGUCUAAAGUUUUGAACUUUAGAUUUAUUUCUUUUAUGAGACUCUACACAUCUA